CAGUAGCCGCGGGAAUACGAAGGGUGCAAGCGUUAAUCGGAAUUACUGGGCGUAAAGCGUGCGUAGGCGGUCUGUUAAGUCAGAUGUGAAAUCCCCGGGCUCAACCCGGGAACUGCAUUUGAAACUGGCAGGCUUGAGUCUUGUAGAGGGGGGUAGAAUUCCAGGUGUAGCGGUGAAAUGCGUAGAGAUCUGGAGGAAUACCGGUGGCGAAGGCGGCCCCCUGGACAAAGACUGACGCUCAGGUGCGAAAGCGUGGGGAGCAAACAGGAUUAGAUACCCCAGUAGUCCCUGUCUCUUAUAC
rnacentral:rRNA from 1 species